rnacentral:rRNA from 1 species
GGGUUGUGAGGUUAAGUGACUAAGCGUACACGGUGGAUGCCUAGGCAGUCAGAGGCGAUGAAGGGCGUGCUAAUCUGCGAAAAGCGUCGGUAAGGUGAUAUGAACCGUUACAACCGGCGAUACCCGAAUGGGGAAACCCAGUGUGUUUCGACACACUAUCAUGUCAUGAAUACAUAGUGGCAUGAGGCGAACCGGGGGAACUGAAACAUCUAAGUACCCCGAGGAAAAGAAAUCAACCGAGAUUCCCCCAGUAGCGGCGAGCGAACGGGGAGGAGCCCAGAACCUGAAUCGGCUUGUGUGUUAGUGGAAGCGUCUGGAAAGUCGCG